GUACUCUCUUCGGUGGUACAUAUACUAAAUUCGGAACGAUACAGAAAAGAUUAUCAUUGGCUCCUGAGCAAGGAUGACACGCAGAAUCGUGAAGCGUUCCAUAUUUUC
rfam:Schistosoma margrebowiei strain Zambia genome assembly, scaffold: SMRZ_scaffold0002941